rnacentral:rRNA from 1 species
GGAUCAUUGUGUGAGCAAUCAUGUGAUGGUCCUAGUGGCGCACGGGUGAGUAACACGUGGGUAACCUGCCCUCGAGACCGGGAUACCCCUUCGAAAGGGGGGCUAAUACCGGAUACGUUCCCUGGGUCGAAAGAUUCGGGGAAGAAAGGUGGCGCAAGCUGCCGCUCUUGGGGGGGCUCGCGGCCUAUCAGCUAGUUGGCGGGGUAACGGCCCACCAAGGCUAUGACGGGUAGCUGGUCUGAGAGGAUGAUGAGCCACACUGGGACUGAGACACGGCCCAGACUCCUACGGGAGGCAGCAGUGGGGAAUCUUAGACAGUGGGCGCAAGCCUGAUCUAGCCAUGCCGCGUGAGCGAUGAAGGCCUUAGGGUUGUAAAGCUCUUUCAGCUGGGAAGAUAAUGACUGUACCAGCAGAAGAAGCCCCGGCUAACUCCGUGCCAGCCGCCGCGGUAACAC